rnacentral:rRNA from 1 species
CUUACCAUGCAAGUCGAACGAUGAUGCCCAGCUUGCUGGGUGGAUUAGUGGCGAACGGGUGAGUAACACGUGAGUAACCUGCCCCUGACUCUGGGAUAAGCGUUGGAAACGACGUCUAAUACUGGAUAUGACUGCCGGCCGCAUGGUCUGGUGGUGGAAAGAUUUUUUGGUUGGGGAUGGACUCGCGGCCUAUCAGCUUGUUGGUGAGGUAAUGGCUCACCAAGGCGACGACGGGUAGCCGGCCUGAGAGGGUGACCGGCCACACUGGGACUGAGACACGGCCCAGACUCCUACGGGAGGCAGCAGUGGGGAAUAUUGCACAAUGGGCGAAAGCCUGAUGCAGCAACGCCGCGUGAGGGAUGACGGCCUUCGGGUUGUAAACCUCUUUUAGUAGGGAAGAAGCGAAAGUGACGGUACCUGCAGAAAAAGCACCGGCUAACUACGUGCCAGCAGCCGCGGUAAUACGUAGGGUGCAAGCGUUGUCCGGAAUUAUUGGGCGUAAAGAGCUCGUAGGCGGUUUGUCGCGUCUGCUGUGAAAUCCCGAGGCUCAACCUCGGGCUUGCAGUGGGUACGGGCAGACUAGAGUGCGGUAGGGGAGAUUGGAAUUCCUGGUGUAGCGGUGGAAUGCGCAGAUAUCAGGAGGAACACCGAUGGCGAAGGCAGAUCUCUGGGCCGUAACUGACGCUGAGGAGCGAAAGCAUGGGGGAGCGAACAGGAUUAGAUACCCUGGGUAGUCCAUGCCGUAAACGUUGGGCGCUAGAUGUAGGGACCUUUCCACGGUUUCUGUGUCGUAGCUAACGCAUAGCG